AUGUGUGAGGUAAAUCUGGCUGCCACCCCAUUAAUUAACAGGACUGAUUCUGCUGAUCUGGCUGGCCAGGAAGGUGUUCCCUCUUCCCUCACCACUAU
rnacentral:sRNA from 14 species